rnacentral:tRNA from 6 species
CAGAGGGUAGUUUAAUUAAAAUGCCAGCUUUGGGAGUUGGUGAUAAAGGUUUGAUUCCUUUCCUUCUGA